rnacentral:rRNA from 1 species
CCUACGGGAGGCUGCAGUGGGGAAUAUUGGACAUGGGGGCAACCCUGAUCCAGCCAUGCCGCGUGUGUGAAGAAGGCCCUCGGGUUGUAAAGCACUUUCAGUGAGGAAGAACGCCUGGUGGUUAAUACCCAUCAGGAAAGACAUCACUCACAGAAGAAGCACCGGCUAACUCCGUGCCAGCAGCCGCGGUAAUACGGAGGGUGCGAGCGUUAAUCGGAAUUACUGGGCGUAAAGCGCGCGUAGGUGGCUUGAUAAGCCGGUUGUGAAAGCCCCGGGCUCAACCUGGGAACGGCAUCCGGAACUGUCAAGCUAGAGUGCAGGAGAGGAAGGUAGAAUUCCCGGUGUAGCGGUGAAAUGCGUAGAGAUCGGGAGGAAUACCAGUGGCGAAGGCGGCCUUCUGGACUGACACUGACACUGAGGUGCGAAAGCGUGGGUAGCAAACAGGAUUAGAUACCCCGGUAGUC